rnacentral:rRNA from 1 species
UACGUAGGGUGCAAGCGUUGUCCGGAAUUAUUGGGCGUAAAGAGCUCGUAGGCGGUCUGUCGCGUCGGCUGUGAAAACCCGGAGCUCAACUCCGGGCCUGCAGUCGAUACGGGCAGACUGGAGUUCGGCAGGGGAGACUGGAAUUCCUGGUGUAGCGGUGAAAUGCGCAGAUAUCAGGAGGAACACCAGUGGCGAAGGCGGCUCCUGGCCUGUUCUUGACGCUGAGGCGCGAAAGCUAGGGGAGCAAACGGG